UACGUAGGGGGCAAGCGUUGUCCGGAUUUACUGGGCGUAAAGAGCGUGUAGGCGGUCCGAUAAGUCGGUUGUGAAAGUCCAGGGCUCAACCCUGGGAUGCCGACCGAUACUGUCGGACUAGAGUUCGGAAGAGGCGAGUGGAAUUCCCGGUGUAGCGGUGAAAUGCGCAGAUAUCGGGAGGAACACCAGUAGCGAAGGCGGCUCGCUGGGCCAUUCCUGACGCUGAGACGCGAAAGCUAGGGGAGCGAACAGG
rnacentral:rRNA from 1 species